AUUUUUAAGAAGAUCACAACCUUUAUAAAUUUACCAAUUUUUAAUCAAAUUAUAAAUUAUUUCUUACUCUGUCAAAAUUUUCCUCCAUAUUUCAGGAAAAAAAUCUAAUAAUAUGCGACAUACAUUAUAUCAGGUUAUCCAGGCUAUUGCCGAUACCUCAAUUACUACUAGAUUUUUCUAUAUAGAUGCUCCUGGUAGAUCAGAGGACAACAAAAAAUGUCUUACCCUUUGCUACCACAGGAACUCCAUACUUCUAACCUGUGUAGAUUGUCCUGGGUUCAAUUGCCACGAUUUUAAUCUUCCAUCUCCUGACCCUAUCACUCAAUCUAAUUUAUAUGACCCAAUAAUAGAAGCAGAUAUCGCAAUGGUAAUGUUAGCCAAUUUAAAUGUUUUACAGCGACAUGCGUUUGAUCAGGUUAUCCAGGCUAUUAACUAUACCUCAAUUAUUACCAGCUAUUUCUAUAUAGAUAAUGGGAAAAAGAAAUACUCUCAAUCUCCUUAUUUAAUGGAAUUUACCUCCAAAUUUUAGAAAAUUCACUGAAUGUUCUCCUCUAUUCAAUAAAAAAAAAAUUCCUGUAAUAGUUCAUGCUUUUUUUAUUCCCGUCAUUCUUGAUGGGUUAUCAACUACUUUUUAAGAUCAACUACUCAACUCAAUCGCGCCUUUGCUCUAGUUGUAGUUCCCCCAUCGACUUGAAGCGGCAUAGUCUGCACUGCCGUUUUGACAUGACGUAUCCCUAAGCACAUCCUAUGCAAUGGCAUUAUUUAAAGUAGAGAUCUGCAAAAGUAGGUCCGGCCUCAGGCCGAGUUCGGACCUAUUUUUUUAAAAAGAAAUCGGGCUCGGGCUAAGCCGGGCUUAAUAUUUUUUUAAAAAAUUCGGGCAGGAUCGGGUAGGGUUUUGGAAUUUUUUUUAAUAUUUCUAAAUUUAUCAAUUUUAUGUUCAAUUUUUAAUGUAUAAAAAUAUUAGAUUUUAUUUAUAGAAACUAGACGUCAUAUAAUAUAUAUCAUUUAUUUUGAGUAAUUAUAAAAAUUAAUUUCUAUAUUUAAAUAAUUCGGACCGGGCCAAAAAAUAUUUUUUUAAAAAAUUCCGGUUUGGGUAGGGCCGGCAAAACUUUUAAAAAAAUUGGGCCCACUAAUUUAAAGUGCCCUAAAAUCUGCUCAGAUUUCAUCGACCUUAGAACCUCUCAGUCUCAUAAGAUCUGAUGGAAAACGUGUUGUUGACAUUACUCAAAUACCUUGGAAAAGAGAUAAAUUCCUAUUAUGGGACUAUUCCUGUAUUGAUCCCUUAGGCCCUUCAAUCUAAACUCAAACAUAUUGAAUCUUAAAAAGCUGUCAAAAAUCAAUAAACGAAAUAUCCGAAGAUUAUAUUUUUAUACCUAUGAUCUCCCCUACAUUAGCUCGGAGUCGUACUUAUUUUUCUUCAAAGAAUUUGGCUCAUACAUCCAUAAAUUUACAGAUGAACCCUGCUGGGAAAGUUUUCACAGGAAAAGGCUUUUAAUAGCCAUAUAUAAGUAAAACUACAUUAGCUUCAUUGGAAGACUCCUUCUCAGGGAUCCUAUCUAAAUAUUUAAUUUAAAAAAAUUUUUAAGCUUUUUUAUUAAUCCUUUUUUUUAUAUAUAAUUGUUUUUUUAAAUGUUAUCUUUACUACUUUUUUUAUGUAUAUAAUUAUCAUACUAGUAUUAAUAAUGUAUUUAUAUUAUUGAUGAAGAUCAACGGUCCGGUUCUAUCGGUCAUUGACUGAUUGGCGAACCUAUCUUUUUUGAGCCGCAAUCUGGAACGGUUUUUUAAAAUUAAUUUUCAGUUCAGAUAAGUUUUUUAUUAAUAUUUAAAUUUGCCUAACUAUAUUCAAUUCAUACAAUUUUUAGAAAAAUUUUACAAAUAUUUUAUUUUAUAUUAAUUUUCUAGAGGAGUUAUUUUAUUUUU